CCCCACCCCCGUCACCCUAUGGGGGCAAUAUGACCCCAUAUUAGAAUAAAAGAGGUUAACUCCAUCCUCUGGCCCCUAACUGCAGUACCACGAGUAGGGGCAUGUUUACUAAACAGUGAGCAGCCAGUGACUACUCGCUGUCAUAAAAAAAGACCAGCAACUGGUCUCCAAUCCAAUAAAGGGGGAUCUGGUAAAGUUGUGGGGCCAUUAAAAUGAUUAAUGGGUGCUAUUAAAUAUUAUGUGAAAUAAUAAUAGGUGGGCAAUAAGCUAAAUACCUAAAAUAAUACCUACAAUUAGAUAUAUCUUCCAUCUUCUUACCUUCAGUCGCAAGACUUACCUGUCAGAGCAUUCUGAUUAGUUGGAUUAAGCCAACUCUGAGUCAAAGUGCACGGCGUGGGGAAGCCUUAAUAACCCUGGCAGGGUGAAGAUGGAUUCAUUACUCUGAUUGGUUGGAUUAAGCCAACUCUGAGUCAAAGUGCACGGCGUGGGAAAGCCUUAAUAACCCUGGCAGGGUGAAGAUGGAUUCAUUACUCUGAUUGGUUGGAUUAAGCCAACUCUGAGUCAAAGUGCACGGCGUGGGAAAGCCUUAAUAACCCUGGCAGGGUGAAGAUGGAUUCGUUACUCUGAUUGGUUGGAUUAAGCCAACUCUGAGUCAAAGUGCACGGCGUGGGAAAGCCUUUAUAACCCUGGCAGGGUGAAAAUGGAUUCAUU